AAAAGAGAAAGAGGGAGAGAGACAGGUGAAAACUCAAGAGCAGGAUGACUGUGGAAAAGAAAACAUUCAUUCGUGCAUGUCAUCUUCCCUCACAAGAACACCGUGUACUCAAGUUACAGCGACAUUCUUCUUCAUAAAUCUGUGAUCUUUUAUGGGUCCUGCACAAAUGAAUAAUCAUUCAUAUCCUAGUAGUACACUUGCAUUAUUCAACCGCUUAAGGUGUGUAAAACAAUGCUGUACAAAACUGGCAUUUAGUGGAAGCAGAUAGUCAUGCUCUGUACCAGUGAUGUCAUUUAAUGUUGUGCAUGUUUCAUUCAGCCUGAUAUCACUUUGAAAGACUUUAACAGGUGUCUGGUACAAGUCAUUGCAAACCAUUGCAGACCAGAGUGCCAUGCACCAUAGAAAAGUCACACACUGCCACUGAACAUGCCAUUUGCUGCCCUGGCUUGCUGUUUUCUGCUAUGCACCAUGUGUCCAAAAGUAUACAGCCAUGGUAUAUUAACUGGUAUAUUCAACUACUUUAAGUUGCACCCAUUGGAUUCCGAGCACUGUUCAAUUUCUUAGCGUAUCACAGCAUUCCACACAACAUAACCACAUUAUAUUCAGGCCUUAUAGAAACUACAGAGAGCUUAAAAUAUGCACUAAGAAAGGCAGCCAGUCUAAAUGGACAAAUGCUAAUGACAAGUUAGCUACUUUAGCCAGCUAACUAUUCUAACCUCUCAGCAUCUUUAAGCUCAAAAACAGCCAGCCUGUGAAGAGGUAGUAAACUGAUGUCAAGUGUGAUAUGUGAUGGUGAACAGUUUAUUUCACUCAAUUUAUAUGAGGAGAGUGUAAAAAUGAACUUAAUCCUAGCUUGUAUCAAAUCUCCCUGCUGGCAGUUUAUAGCAGCAUGUCCAGUGUGCAGUUGCCUUAACGUCACCAUGCUGAAUGCCAAGCAUGAUCCAGAGCAUUAACAUUUAAAUUUGAUUUAGAUUUGACUUGAUAGACUGCUUCCAAUUUGUUUGAUGGGGAUUUUUUUGAACAGUGCAAUAUUGUGCAAUUUGGUGUUCGACAAGGCUCUGUUUUAGGGCCCUUACUGUUUCCCUUUUUUGAAACCCCCUGAUAUGCAUUCUUGCAAACUCAACUUGUAACAGUGUUUGCCACCUCCUCCCUGCCCCUUCUUCAUUAAACACCAACAAGAUAGUUUAUGGACUGACCUGGCAACAUGUAUACAGCCCUUGUUUGACAUUGUGCAGUGUCUGCUGCAUGAGCUGUGUUCCUUUUGGUGUUUUCCUAUGUUUUGAUCCUUGCUUUUUUACAUGGUUGGUGCUUAUGGAUUUGCCUUGUAUGUACCUGUCUGCCUGUUUCUUGAUGGCUGCUUGUGAUGACUGUGAGUUGCCUGUAAUAAAAAUAACUCUGCACAUGCA